GACGGAGGUGGCGAGCGUUACUCGGAUUCACUGGGCUUAGAGCGGGUGCAGGCGGCUCAGCAAGUCCGGAGUGAAAUCCCCCGGCUCAACCGGGGAAUUGCUCUGGAUACUGCUGGGCUUGAGGCAGGUAGGGGCAAGUGGAACGUUUGGUGUAGCGGUGAAAUGCGUAGAUAUCAAACGGAACGCCGGUGGUGAAGACGGCUUGCUGGGCCUGUCCUGACGCUCAGACCCGAAAGCGUGGGGAGCGAACCGG
rnacentral:rRNA from 1 species